rnacentral:rRNA from 1 species
AUUGAACGCUGGCGGCAGGCUUAACACAUGCAAGUCGAACGAGUGGCGGACGGGUGAGUAAUGUCUGGGCAACUUCCCGGUGGUGGGGGAUAACUACUGGAACUGGUAGCUAAUACCGCAUACCAUUGGAUGUGCCCAGAUGGGAUUAGCUAGUUGGUGGGGUAACGGCUCACCAAGGCCACGAUCCCUAGCUGGUCGGAGAGGAUGACCAGCCACACGGGAACGGGGACACGGACCAGACUCCUACGGGAGGCAGCAGUGGGGAAUAUGGCACAAUGGGCGAAACCCUGAUGCAGCCAUGCCGCGUGUAUGAAGAAGGCCUUCGGGUUGUAAAGUACUUUCGGCGGUGAGGCGGUACCCGCAGAAGAAGCACCGGCUAACUACGUGCCAGCCGCCGCGGUAAUUC